AACGAACGUUAGCGGCGCGCCUAACACAUGCAAGUCGCACGAGAAAGGGCUUCGGCCCCGGUACAGUGGCGCACGGGUGAGUAACACGUGGAUAAUCUUCCCUCGGGCGGGGGAUAACCUUCCGAAAGGAGGGCUAAUACCGCAUAAGCCCACGGUCUCGAAAGAGACAGCGGGAAAAGCAGGCCUCUAUAUAUAAGCUUGCACCUGAGAAUGAGUCCGCGGCCCAUCAGUUAGUUGGCGGGGUAAUGGCCCACCAAGGCAAAGACGGGUAGCUGGUCUGAGAGGAUGAUCAGCCACACUGGAACUGACACACGGGCCAGACUCCUACGGGAGGCAGCAGUGGGGAAUUUUGGGCAAUGGGCGAAAGCCUGACCCAGCAACGCCGCGUGAGGGAGGAAAUCCUUCGGGAUGUAAACCUCACAAGCAAGGGAAGAGCGCAUGAAGGAGAAUACCCUUCAUGCCCGACGGUACCUUGCGUAAGCCACGGCUAACUACGUG
rnacentral:rRNA from 1 species